rnacentral:rRNA from 1 species
GACGAGCUCGCGGCGGAUUAGCUUGUUGGCGGGGUAACGGCCCACCAAGGCGACGAUCCGUAGCUGGUCUGAGAGGACGAUCAGCCACACUGGGACUGAGACACGGCCCAGACUCCUACGGGAGGCAGCAGUGGGGAAUCUUGCGCAAUGGGCGAAAGCCUGACGCAGCGACGCCGCGUGAGGGAAGAAGGCCUUCGGGUUGUAAACCUCUUUCAGGAGGGACGAAGCCACUCGGGUUAAUAGCCCAGAGGGUGACGGUACCUCCAGAAGAAGCCCCGGCUAACUACGUGCCAGCAGCCGCGGUAAUACGUAGGGGGCAAGCGUUGUCCGGAUUUAUUGGGCGUAAAGAGCGUGUAGGCGGCCUGGAAGGUCAGCUGUGAAAACUCGAGGCUCAACCUCGAGACGUCGGUUGAAACCACCUGGCUAGAGUCCGGAAGAGGAGUGUGGAAUUCCCGGUGUAGCGGUGGAAUGCGCAGAUAUCGGGAGGAACACCCGUGGCGAAGGCGGCACUCUGGGACGGUACUGACGCUGAGGCACGAAAGCGUGGGGAUCAAACAGGAUUAGAUACCCUGGUAGUCCACGCCCUAAACGAUGAUUACUCGACGU